ACGGAAGGCAGCAGUGAGGAAUAUUGGUCAAUGGGCGGGAGCCUGAACCAGCCAAGUAGCGUGAAGGAUGACUGCCCUAUGGGUUGUAAACUUCUUUUGUAUGGGAAUAAAGUCACCUACGUGUAGGUGUUUGUAUGUACCAUACGAAUAAGCAUCGGCUAAUUCCGUGCCAGCAGCCGCGGUAAUACGGAAGAUGCGAGCGUUAUCCGGAUUUAUUGGGUUUAAAGGGAGCGUAGGCGGGUCUUUAAGUCAGUGGUCAAAGCGUGUGGCUCAACCAUACCACGCCAUUGAUACUGGAGACCUUGAGUGCACAUAAGGAUGGUGGAAUUCGUCGUGUAGCGGUGAAAUGCUUAGAUAUGACGAAGAACUCCGAUUGCGAAGGCAGCUGUCCGGGGUGUAACUGACGCUAAUGCUCGAAAGUGCGGGUAUCAAACAGGAUUAGAUACCCUGGUA
rnacentral:rRNA from 1 species